AAAGCUCAAACUUGUGCGACAGAGUUGAGAGGAGGCGGUGGAUUCCACUCUGCCUCUCCCAGGCCAGCAGGGCAGUGGGGGGACAAUGCAGGCGAGCUCUUUUGACCUCCCGCAUUUGAAAAGCCAGGCUCUGUCUGUGUCCUUCCAGCAUAUGGCGGUUGCUACGGGUACGGGGCAUCCCAUAGGCUCCACAAAGACACCCCAGUAACAGCCCGGCCACGGCUCCCCCUUCUUCCCCAGAGCCCACAGAGGCUCUCAAUUGGAUGAAACUAAAGUGUCUAUCAGGGCAGCAGCUUCUGCCGCCCCCGCAAAGGGCCAUCCUCAGGCUGCCUGCGAGGCUGAAAUGGGAGACCCCUUUUCUCAGCAGUGAUGUGCAUGCAUCCUACUUUUAGAGACUUCAUUGUAAUAAUGGUGACCAAUGAUGACGAAGAUAAUCUUCAUUUACUCCCUUGGGUUGGUUUCUCCUGAGGCAGAGGCCUUCCUGGGAAGUGUCUGCCUGCCCUGGCCUGGUCAUUCAUUGCCGCAGCUGGUCUUCGAAGUACCGGGGUUGCUGUUGUAACUCUUGUCCAGCGAAGGAACCGCGGGAGGUCAGUCAUGCAGCCUGACCGGUUUUGAGAGCAGUAAAGAGAGCAGAUACCGAGCACACGCCCCUCACCUGUGCUAACUGUCGGUGUGCAGAUGUCUCACUAAUGGAAAGUCUCAACGCUGUCAGACGAUCUGCAGAGCAUGUGUGUAACCUUGGUGGCAGGCUACCUCUCCUUAGCCGUGGAGAACACCCGAGCUGCUUUCUGUGGUACCCCUCUCGCUCCUGUCCCUGUUCUGAGAUUCCUCGACAUUCAAAAACAGAAGGCAAACAAAAACGAGCCAGCCCGAGUGCUUCUCCUGCUUCCACUUAUCAUUUUGGUUACACAGCAUGGUGACCCCACCUCCCUGCUCGCUGAUGUGAUUGUCUGGACGACCAAGUCUGGCUGAGGAGUCUGCCUUCCCCUCCAUCCCUGUUAAACUAGAGCUGAAACUCCUUUCUGUCAGGACUGAGGCGCUGCCGCUGAGCAUGGCUCUGGACGUGCUUCCCCAGCCUUCCCUACUAGAGUCCUGUGAGGUCCUGAGUCAUCGUCACAACGAUGCUUGCCUCUGCUCUGCCUCGUGAGAUUGCUGAUGGCCCACGGGACACACGCCUGAGCCAGAGCAGGCCACUUGGGAACUUUCACCGUUACGCGUGUGGAGACUGACACGUAUCUAUAAUUGUAUCUGUUAUUAUCUUUUGAUGCUGUGGCUGAAACAACUCUUGGGAGGAAGGAUUUACUUAGGUACAACCCACUGGGUGGGGUGGGAAAGGCCUGAGGGCGGGGCCAGAUCUGUUGGUGAGGUCAGAGCUUUGGUCUGGCCACGUGGUGGUAGGAAUGAGAGUGUGGUGACCCAAACAUUUUAAAAUUUGCUUUCUUUGUGUGGGUUUUAUUUACUGUGACUCUACUAUACACUU